rfam:Fomitopsis pinicola FP-58527 SS1 unplaced genomic scaffold FOMPIscaffold_66, whole genome shotgun sequence.
GGCACUAUAGCUUAGUGGUUAGAGCAUCAAAAGCCCUAUCAGAAGGUUGCUGGUUUGAUUCCAGCUAGUGUCA